rnacentral:lncRNA from 1 species
UGUUAACAAUGAAGAAGAAAACAAAAACCAAUUUCACAUUGUAUUUUGCAAAAUACCAAUAAUUAUGUAGAAACUCAAAUAUGAAACUCAGAGUCAGAGUUCUGUAAUAUACAGUUCCAGUAGUAUAUGUCUUGUUUCUAUGUUUUUUUGCUUUACAGAACUCAGUUACUAAUCACGAUAAAUCUUCACUGGUUAUUUCCUUCUUUCUAAUAUUGUUUAAGCUGAAAAUCAUCUUUCCUUUUUUUUGCAGGUCGUGAAGUCUUUUAGUUAAAUUUAAUCAUUGCUUUCCUAUAUAGUGAGCACAAACAUGAUGAUUUAAGGUUAGAAACUAAACCCUUCGUUUGGAAAAGUUGAUAUUCAUUCUAUUGUAGGCUGUUUAGUUUAAAGUCAUACUAAACUGACCAAGAAAUAUGCUCAACGGUAAUUUUUUUAAACAUAUCCGUGCACCUUGCUUUUAUUGUAUUUUGCUACCUUGAUUCCUGUAGAUAGGAAACGAAGAAUGAAAAUGUGAAAGUAAAAAAACUUCAUCAUUAAAUAAUAUACAAUAAGCAUUAUGUGAUAGUAGAAUAGGAUGUGUAGCAUCGUUACAGAUGGUCUUACUCGUAGAAUGUAGACUUAGUCCCAAAUUCUGAACACCUCUUUGAAAACAACAUUAGUUGUUUGCUUCUUAACUUUUCCUUCUUUGCUGACAAUCAAUAUUUUCAAGCAAAUGAAGCACCAUGAUGAUUAGUUUUUUUUGCGUUUUGCAAAUAGUGUAUUCGAUUGAAGUGGAUAUGGAUGCUUUUAGGUUGCUAAUGAACAAUCCUAUUUAUAGUGUUAGGAAGUAAAGGUCGCGAUACUCUGGUUGCAAUGACGGUUGCUUGGAGAUAAAGUUUAAACGAUUUAAUAAGAUUUUUGCCAUUAACUUUUGAGAAUAUUCUAGCGAGUAAUUUGGGAGUGUAGUCAUAAAUCUUUAAUAUAGUUACUAUAUUGCGGAAAUAUGAAUACUCAAUCUUAGGAAUGUCGACGAUAGUAAUUAAGGAGGAUGAUAUAUACAGCUAUGUGAAAUCAAAAAAACAUAACAUUAGGAAACUUUCUUGCACGAAUCGUAUAUAAUCUAAGAUUGCAAUAUUAUAAGGUUCAUAUAAUCGUCAAUAUUGUUAAGAUUUGAAAAUUAUUUUCUAAGUUUGGUUAGUAGUUAUUGCUUUGCUAAUUUAUAGGAACAAUAAAAUAUCAUAGAUAAUCUUUGUUAACAUUUAACGUUUACCAUUACUCAAUGUUUUCGAUUAUGCCUAAAUAUCCAUGAAUGAAAUCGGGUUUGAAAUUGAUAAAAUUAGCCGACCCGUCUCGUUAAGUUACAUCAUUAACCUUAAUGAGUUUCAAUAAUUAGUUUGAUAUUAGGGGUAAUCGAUGUCAUUAAGGUUUUAAACAAAAGUGGCCAAAAAAUUGUACUUCAAAAAUGUUAUAAUAGA